CUCUUUCUUUCUCUCCCCCUCCCUCUCUCCCCCUCCCGCUCUCUUCUCCCUCUCCCUCCAAGUCUGGCACUGAACGCGAACUGUUUUGCUUUGCUCCGGGAAGAGUGCAGACACAUAACGUGAAAUCCCGAGCUUUUUGCGUGGUGCAUUUAAAAUGCUUCCUUAUUUAUAUUACCCUCAUUCCCUCACCUCUCCCACCCCCUCACCAGUCCUUCCAAAUUUCCCUAGAAAUCUGUGUAAAGCAUGCGGAGGGGAAAAAACAUUUGCACAAAAAGUGAAGGAGCUCGCCAAGGUAGGUUCUACCAUGCACUGUCUUGUGUUUGGCUCUUGCAAAGUUUAUGAUGUCAGUUGGUGAAUGUUUGGAGGAGUAGAUCUGUCUGGCCAUGAUUACUGUCUUUUUUCAUGGAACAGCAAUAUUUGUACAAAUUGCCUAGACUUCUUGGGUAGGCUUUCCUGGGGUCUUGUGUGUGUGGAUUCUGCAGGAGGCAUGCCAGUUGGAAGACAAUCCUGUGGUGUUCAACUGGGGAAGGGAUGCUGUGCUGUCACCUCCCCCCCACACCAGUGUUUUGUGCUGUGGGAAUGGGAGGCUGGAGGGGGAUUCUGUAGUGGGCAAGUGCUUAUUCUACUUUGCCAUAUUUUGGACUGAUUCUCAUUCACUGAGCGUUUUCAUUCUUGUAAUUAUUUUGCAUGUGAAAAUCUGGUUCCAAAAAGGUUUCAUGAAGUCAGAGCAAAGUGAUGGUGGGGGGAGAAAGAGAGUCAGGGAAUGGUGGUGGUGAUGAUAGUGGUAAUAUUUCUUGCACAGAGAAUUUAAUCUUCUCACUUCCCACUAUUUGGAGAAAAUGGUAAGUCUUUAGUGGGUCUGAGCAAAAUAGUUUUUGUUUAAAACCUUAUUAGUGGGUAAAAUGAAAUUUAAAAACAAAACAAAACAAAAAGAAAAACCAUUUCCAUUGCUAGAGCAAAAACUGCUACAGCUCACAACCACCUGUAGAGGGAAAUCUUUAUGCAUGAUUUCUUAGGGCCGGUUGUGGAGAGGAAAACAGCCAGAAAAGGCACCUGGCAAACUUUGCGGUAGGAAGCCCAGAGGGGCCAGCCCGCAAGGUGGAAGGUUACAUCGUGGGGGAGGCAGGGGUCCAGCGAAGGCUGGAGCCUGGCCAGGGUCACUUGCUCACAGUUUGGGAAGCUGCAGAGUUGGCCUUCUGCUUGGGGGGUGAGGGGCAGUGCUAAGAUGGGUGAACCAGAGAAGGAGAAGCCUGAUGGGAGCCAGGUCUGGCAGGGUGUGGGGGGCGCGGGGAGUGCGUUUGAUGAGGCUCGGAAUUGUAUGGUGCCUAAUGCUGGGUGGAGGAGGAGAGGUCAGAGGCCAGGUUUUCCCUCCCGCCCCAAGUCUUUCCUGCGGCUGCACAAAGCGAGGUGGUUAUCAACAAGUGUUUCUCCUGAGAAGAUUAGUUUUGACAGGGACUUCAAGGGGUUUUCUAAUCUGGGUAAAUCCACCAGGGCUUUAUUGUGUGUAGCAAAGAGUCAUUCUUUGUUGAGAAGGACCUCGGAGGAGAGAGGUGAUGGGAUGGAGGAGGGGGCUUUUGAACAGCGGCCAUUUGACCUUGGGGGCCAGAGUUCAAAUCCUCCAGAGGGUUGAAAAGCUGUCAUCAUUAUUCCUCCUCCCACUCAGCGUCUUCCAUCCUAAGCUUUAUGUUUAAUGGGAAAAAUUCAGCGCCUGGUGUUGGCCAAACCUCGUCAGUGGGAAUUCCAUGUGUCUGAGAGCAGAUUUUUUUUUUUUUAAUCUAGGGAAGCGGGCAGCACUCAGCUGUAGUACUGUAUUUUUUUUCCCCCUGCAAAUGAUCUUCUAGGAAAGCUGAAUCACCUCCACUCUGAAGAGCAGCCACUUCUAGGAGGUGGAACACAAGCCUCAUGGGGGUGGGGGGAUACCCUUCAUGAUCUUUAAAUAGAAACUGAGGGGGUACCAUUUCAAUAUCUGGUUAAACUGAACCUGAAGGUAAAGAGCAGUGGGUGUGUGGGUUGGAAAGAGAAGACCACCUGGGCUGGGAUAUACUUUGGAAGGAGCAAGUUUGUUUGUGUGUGGGGGGGUGGGUGUUUUCCUCCUGGGGGGGAGGAGUGUCACCAAAUUAAUAUGAGAAGGGAAUCUCUUCCAGCCAAAAGGUGGGAGAUUUGGGGAGGACACUUGGAAAUUAAAAUAGGACACCAUUGCCACACCCUCUAGGACCAGAAUAACCAACAGGCAGAGGACAAAGAAAUGGGGGCAACGUGUGGCACAGACUGGUGUCAGUCUCUGUUGGCGUGAAGCUUUAUCCAGCUAAAGAAAGGAGAGAGGAUGGGGACUCAGUUCUUACAGACCUGCCAGGCCAGCAUGCCUGAAGUCCUGCGAAAUGCCCCGUCAUUUUUUUUGGCCAGUGGAAGGAGGGGGAUGGUCUUUCACAGUCUGGGAGUCAUUGAUGUCACAGGUUGCUCUUCUCAGAAGGAAAUUGUUUCUGUUCUCUACUUAAAGCCCACAAAGAUUUGUCUACUUUUAAUUAUAAGGGAAAGUGGUUAUGAGAAAAAAAUCUAAUGUUGGAGCUUCAGCCAUGUGUCCUCCAAAGUCCCGCAGACCCAUCAGCAUCUGUCUCCACUCUCCUGAGGGGACCCAGUUGCAAAAGGCCACCAGACCAAUAUACACUCCUUGCCACCUUUUUUCACUGAAGGUACUUUACCUUCAUCAACCUGCGCCCCCAAAUGCACAUAAAGGCCACCUCUCUCGAGUUCUGCAGUGCCUAGUCACAUGUCAUGUGCAGACAAGGAUGGGCAGUGAAUGUUCUUACAUAGGUGCAGAGGCCACAAGAACACACAUGUGUGUGCCCAGGGUCCUGUCCGCAACUGAGUUCCUGAGCAGCAUGCCAGGGAGCCAACCUCCUCCCUCCCGUGUCAAGUCUAAAGAUGCCAAUCAAGAAACACCAGUCUAGGGGUGGACCUGACGUCCCUGAGUGUAUGUGGUGAACCUGAAUUUGCCUUGGGUUUCCUCAUACUCAUUCAGGAGUGUCAGUUGCCCCUUCAUGCAACGCUGGAGAACGUUCCUGCAUGCAGAGGUCUACCCAUUUGUAAGAAGAAGGAAGCCCAACUUCCCUCGUCAUCAUCUUGGAUGAGUCCUGCGGCUUCCACUCCAUUUACCAAAAGAAAAAUAAGGGCAGGAGCAGGGCCAGCUGAUGUGAUUUGUGGGAUCCUAAACAAACUGAAAGUGCAGGAUCACUCAUUUGAAGUAUAGGAAGAGCGCGUGCCAUUAAAGGUACUAAAACAAAGUUUUUUUCCUUUCUGCCGCAGUCUCUGGACUUGUCGUGGUGUUUCUUAUUUGCUGUCCAAUGUCACUAAAUUCAAAAAGUUAAAAUUUUAAAUUAUUAGCAUGAAUUUUACCAUUCAUCUUUCUAUUGUGCAGUGCCAGGGUUUUUGUUUGUUUGUUUGUUUGUUUUGGUCUUUCUUUUUUAGGACCUGGGAUUGAACCCAGGAGCACGAAAGCACUGAACCACAUCCCCUGCCCCCGCCCCGCUUUUUAAAAUUUCUUAGUUGUAGUUGGACACAAUGCGUUUAUUUUAUUUAUUUAUUUUUUAUGUGGUGCUGAGGAUGGAACCCAGUGCCUCAUACGUGCUAGGCGAGCGCUCUAUCAAGGAGCUACAACCCCAGCCCCCCUGCCCUUUUUUAAUAUUUUAUUUUGAGAUGGGGUUUUGUUAAGUUGCUUAGGGCCUCACUAAGUUGCUGAGGCUGGCUUCAAACUUGCAGAGCCUCCUGCCUCAGCCUCCUGAGCCACUGGGUUUACAGGCGUGCGCCACUGCACCCUGCACAGGACCAGUUUCAAAUGCAGAAAUGAUAGCCUUUGAUUCAUUUGCAGACUCAUGGAAAUUAUACAACUCAUAACAGGAAAUCAGGCCAUACGUGCCUGGGUAUUUCAUCCAUACUAGAACAAAGGAGACAUUGAAUACAAUGAACUCAACUAGUUUUAUUUUAUUUCCUGAUAUGAGCACACCCUACUGGGCCUCUCACCCUUUAGCUUGCUGUUGAAUAGGGAAAGUCCCAAAGGUAAAAGAACCUUUGCUCUGUCAUCACUUUCCUUGUAUGUCACCAUUUUCACCAUACCCUAGGGGGAUGGCAAGUACAGGGAAGGAACAUGAAUAAGAAAUAAUGUGCUUAGGGUUCCUUGGUCAUUAGUGUCAUUUAGAACACCAUUGCCUUCUUUCUGCAUUCAAAGCAUCUGGUUCCUACAGAAAGCUGCAUAGAGUACCCAGAAAAAAAGAAGAAAAGGAACUAGUCUUGCUUAUGCUGUUACAUAACCUUUACUAGACUUUAAGGCUCUUGCAGGGACAGUCCAGCUAGUGGGCAGGAGACCAAUCCAUGACUUAUUUACUGUUUAUGAAUGAGCUUAGCACAGUGUUUGACCUCUUAGCGUUGUUGUGUCCUGAUUGCCUCAAUCACGGACUUACAGUCUACUUACUUUGCUCACAGGGCACUGCCAACACUGUGGUGCAGCAAGGACAGGUGGGCAUGCAUUGUGCCUAUCUUCUCCCUUCACUCCUGUUCUCCAUGAGCUCAUAGACAUCACUUACCAAACACAAGUUCAAAGAUAAAAUUACUAAGAAUGUCAAGGCAACGGCAGUUCGAUUCUUAAACCAAAUAUGUAGUCUUUUUGAGCACAGGGCCCUGCAUGAUGACUACAGAUGUCAUACCCUUAACAAGCCAAGAAGUAACCCAAGUCCCAAGAUGAGAAUCCUGGUGCUCAUCUUCCUUCAUCAAGUGAAUAAUCCCACUUUUAGGGUUAAAAAAAAAAAAAACUUUCACAUCCUCCAUUUUUGGUCUAUUGCUUCUCCAUUCUUCUCUAAUCAAGUCCCACUCUGAAAAGCUCACCACUUCCUGGUGACAGCAUGACAGCUUUGAAGAGAGAUUUCAUCUGUUGAUUUCUUCUGGGUCCACCAAGACUUGAUCUUGGAAAUGAAGGCAUCCACUCCAUCUCUACCCACCAGUUUCAACCUUAGUUCCAUCAAGCAGAUACCCUGCCUGGUCCAUAGUUAGGUUUCACCAUGUAAAAUUAAUAAUAAAAAAUACUCAGCUUUCUUCAUGAAUUAUUGUGCCAAUGAUCAAGUGUUUAAUAUUAUUAUUAUUAUCUCACCACUUCUUUGAAGUCUGUCUAGGGAAUCUCCUGGUCCAGGAUAACAGUUUCCCAGAAAUCACUUUGGCAAUAAAUUCAAUUGAUGUGGAUGUGGAAGAACUGGGGCUUGAGUCUCAAAGGGUCAAGGGGUACACAGUCCUACUUUCCUGAUGGACCCUGAUAAGAAAGGAAUUUUUCCUUCCUACGUCAACUGCCUUCCUGCUCCUUACCCUCUAAGGAGCAAAGCUAAAGAUGUGAGAGGACCAAUGUGGAACUAAGAUAUUUAUUAAAAGUGCAUCCAACCUGGAGAAUGGAGACGCUAUUGACCCUCCAGCAUUGGUUCAGAGACUUCAGAGUUGUGUUUUUCAGCCUUCAUCUAACUCUCCUUUUUUUCCACCUGAUCCUUUUGGGUGACGGCAACACCCUUUUGUGAAAGAGUUGGCUUGGUCUAAGCUGCAUAGAGUACCCAGAAAAAAAGAAGAAAAGGAACUAGUCUUGCUUAUGCUGUCACAUAACCUUUACUAGACUUUAAGGCUCUUGCAGGGACAGUCCAACUAGUGGGCAGGAGACCAAUCCAUGACUUAUUUACUGUUUAUGAAUGAGCCUAGCACAGUGUUUGACCUAUAAUGGGCAACUAAUAAAUGAUAACUGACUCUGAGUAUGUCUCAUUUUUGUGAUAGUGUGUGUGGUAGCGAAAGUGGAUUUGGAAUCACGCUACAUAGGUGUAAGCGACCAAGUGGAUCGCAUGAUUCUGGGCAAAUUAUUUCCCUUGUGAUCUGCUUACUUCACCUGAACAGUAGGAAUGUUAAUAUACCCCACAGGAUUAUCUUGAGAAUGAAAAGAGAUGGUUCAUCGGAAAACACUCUAAGAGUGUUCUGCCUGUGAUACAUGUGUUUACAUACGUGUGUGUGCAUAGGGGCGGAUAUUAAAGUGUCUUUAAAUCCUGCUUUCCUCUCUUUACCAUCUUGCUCAGCAAUAGAGGUGGGCUGGUGAAUAGUUCAGGCUUUGUAACCAGAUAGACCUGGGUUCAAUAUUUGGUUCCUGUACUUGGCUGGUUGGGUGGAUUUCUAUAAGUUAUUUAAACUGUAUUCGCCUGGGUUUCUUAACAUUUAAAAUUGGCACCUACCUUGGGGUGGGGAUGUGGCUCGGUGGUAGAGUGCUUGCCUUGCAUGUGUGAGGCCCUAGAUUUAAUUCCCAGAAUCAACACACACACACACACACACACACACGUACCUAUUGCAAAGAGUUAUUUUGAUGAUGAUUCAUUGACUUUAUAUUUUCACAUGGUUUGACACAGUGCCAGACAUAUACUAAGUGUCUACUAUAUUAUUUUAAUUGUUAUUUUUAUUAUUAUUCCUCUGGCCAUUGGCAGGCCCAGGGAAGCAUCUGAAAAGUGACGUAAAAGCAUCUUCUCAUGAGGUGUAUUAUAGAUGUUGUUUCUACUAUAAGUCUUUCUUACCUGAGAAGAUUACCCCUGUCCUGAAGCUGGCAGAGUUUUUCUUAGGUCUUUCUUCAUACAUAGAGACUCCUCUUGGGAGAUUUGGGUAAAGUAUGUCUUCCCCAUUUCCUACCAAAAGUCAAAGGAAUUGCUCUUCAUUGACCCUACCAAGCAAGGGACAGGCCUGGGCAACUUCCCAGGAGCUGUACUCAGAGACUAUUCACUCUUUUAUUCCAGCAACCCCAACCCUGAAAGAGGAGGCAUCUAGUAAGGAGAAAGGAGCCCAGUGGAUACUUAGCACAGUCUGGACCUGAAGAGUAUGAGCAUGAGAAACUCACCUGCAUUUCACUCCUAGGAGCCUAGAGACCAGACUGGAGUCUUCUCUCCACUGGGGUAGGGUCCCAUGUCCUCCUUGGACUUUGUGAAAGCCUCUCCAUGCAAAUAUGUGUAUUUGCAGCUAAUAUAAUCUUGAGUUUCAGUGACCUCAUUCUCUAGUAGAGAAUAGAAGAAAUUAAUUCCUAUCUGGUCCCUAAGUCUUCAUUAAAACUGAGAACUCAAGAAAAACUUACAGAGGAUCCCCUAUUACCAAGCCAUAUUCAAGGCUCUGAAGGUCCAUGAUAACUAAGAUCCUGGUUGCCACCAUGGUGAUCCCAGUCUGGAAGGUGGGAGAAACCUUUAACAGUACAUAUAAUUCUUUUGGUGAGAUCCUUAUCGACCCUUAUCAGAUGGUAAGUUUCUAUUCCAGACUUAUCUAGCUUGUAUCAAGAAUCCUUUCAUCCCUGAGUGUAUGUAAGCAUGUUAAUUGGUGUGGAUGGACCCGUUGGGAAACAAGAAUGAGAUCUAUUCAUCAAGAUCCAGAUUGUUAGUUCCAGAGAUCCUUUGUAGUAGUUAGUGAGGAUGCCAGGCUUUUAUGGUAAUUCAUCCUCAUUGAAGACCAUGAGCUCAUUAUGUCAGGAUGCAUGGUUCCUAGAACUAUAGGAUUUAUCCUGGCCCCUACAUUUUGGGUGUUAAGAACCAAAGGGCCAAUAAAGACCUCUGCUGGGAGUGGCCUCAACCUAGUCUCAGUCUGAAGCAGGACUUCAGUUCCCAGUGCAAGGAGUUAUUUGCUUCUAAUUAUUUUCCUAUACUGCAUUUGCACAGAUUUAGAAAAUAGAAAUGGUUCAGGAAGAUGAUAUAAGGGACAAGAAAAGAUCAAAAUAGCUACUUUCUUUUACUGAAGGAAGAAUCUUUCCCACUAUCAUCCCUUCUUUAGACACCUUGGACCAAAUCAAGAUGGUUUCUACUACUCCACAUUGAUUUCUAGGCUUUUAAGCUCUCCAAUUAAAAAAAACAAAAACAAAAACCAACCUUAGCUACCAUGUACACAUGACAAAGGCUGAUCCAUUCUGAGGGAAGUACCUUCCUAUCAGAGCCUGGAAGUGAACAAGACCACAAGUCACUUAUCAGAAUGAACCUGUCAUCUGCAUGAACCCCAGGUCCUGUCAAAAUGUGAGGAAUUCUCCUGAGUACAAUCCAGACCAAAGUUGCGAUUUGAUUUGUAACCAAAAAUACUAUUUCAAACCAACUGGAAUGCAUAUAUUUUCUAACACUGGUGGCCUAGAGCAGUAAGUUUUUCCAAGAAUCGAAACAUUUGGUGCUUGUGCUUGCUCCUGCAGCAAAUAUACCAAAAAUAAGAUUAGAAUGGGACCUGCACAAGAAUGAUGUGCAAAUUCGUGAAGUGGUCCAUAUUUUUAAAAACAUCCAUUUGGUGUCAAUGUCAAGAGAAGAGGGGAUGGGAGGACGGGACAGGAUGGGCCUGAGUCUGGGUCCCAAGUCCUCUCUUCUUCCUCUGGUCAGUGGUUCUUGGCUCUUCAAGGCAGUAGCUCCUUCAUUUUUUCUCUUCUAUGUCAUUAGAAGCCUACCACCUUAGCUGGGCAUGGUGGCGCACACCUGUAAUCCCAGCAGCUCAAGAGGCUGAGGCAGGAGAAUCAUGAGUUCAAAGCCAGCCUCAGCAAUGGUGAGGCACUAAGCAACUCAGUGAGACCCUGUCUCUAAAGAAAAUACAAAAUAGGGUUGGGGAUGUGGCUCAGUGGUCAAAUGCCCCUGAGUUCAAUCCCUGGUGCCAAGAAAAAAAAAAAAGAAAUAGCCCACCACUUUACUGGACAGCUUUCCUCUGUUGACUUCAAGAAGUGGAAAAAUGAGUAGAAACAGCCAAGUUUAUGAAGGCAGGAUCCGAUUAAUGAGAGGCGUCUCUUGUGAUGUUAUCUAUAUGGUCAAAGGAGUCAGCACUGACCCUUAGCCAGAAAUCAGUGAACAAAGUCCAGCAAAGUUACAAAUAAGGGCACAAGGAGCGAUGGCUUGGUCACUGCUGAUAAAAUUCUUUACCUAUCCUCGGAUUCUUCUUAGUUGCUGUCCCCAAGGUAUGUUUUUUCUUUAGGCAUAGGACCUAAAGAAUUCUAUUCUUGAACUAGGUCCCAGCUGUCAGUUUUCCAGCUUAUUCCAAAAUUAUGAAAAUCCAAUGCAAUUUUCUGAAAAUGUAAUGAGUUCCUGUUGUUCUGUGUGCUGAGGCCAGGUAGCUCAGAGAUCCUUGGAAAGGGAAAGGGAGGUAAAAUACUUUGUGGCGUGGUGACUCUUUUCCUCCUGGAGUAGGUUGCACUUGCCCUGUGGAAGGAGAAGGAACAUCAGAUGCGUCCAUCAGUCCUGUUUGGCCUUAACAAGAUCCCACUGGUCCUUUGAGCCUUGGAAACAUUGCCCAGUACUGAAGGGAACCCUGCUGGAGAACCCAGCCAGGGCCCAAAGAGGGGCUGCUCUGUCUGUGCUUCAGAAUACCAGUUAUUACACUUGACCACUGCUUGACUUUGGGCAAGUUAUUUAACCUCUCUAAGCCUCAGCUUUUCCACUUGAAAACGGACACUGGAAUAGGAACUGUUUCACUGAGUUCUUACAGAGAUUGAAUGAGAUAACAUAUGCACUACCUGAGGUUAGUAAAUACUAACUACUGCUACUCUUAAGUCUUUGCCUUAUACCGGGUUCCUUCUGAGCUAUGUGUCAUCCUGUAAGUAGGUAAGGCACAAAGCCUCUUGGGUACCCUAAAAGAAAUGAGGCCACUGCUAAUCAAAAUCAGCCAGUGAGCAAAUGUUAAUUGUAAGAAAGACCAGAAAGGUCUCUUGUUAUCUCUUGGGCUUCUACUAUUACAUUGAUUAACUGUGAGCCAGGAAAAAAAAUGUGGGAAAAAAAAAGAAAUGUUUGUGCUCCAAUAGCUCAACCAACUUGUUGAUCUGAGGAGUCUGGGCAGGGAAGGAUCUGUGAGAAUGUGAAAGUGUGGCUAGAGCUCACUAGAGUCCAUCUUAUGGGCUUUGGGCAGCCACUGUGAGUCUUUUGUCUGAAAGGGAUCCUGUAGCUGUCUUUUCCCUGGAUUAGGAAAGGAUCAUGCCCUUCAGUCUUCUGCUAUUAAGUGAAAUACACAACCCCCUUGAAGCACCUCUUUUGGGACAGGAGGGAUAUCAAGGUUCCAUGAUACUUUUAUAACAAGUAUAUGGUAAAGUCCUUUAGUGGCUAGGAAUCUAGAUGUUUGUGAGAUAAGGCUUACUAAAGAGCUGGAACACAUUCAAAAUUCCAAAGACUGGAGAAGUGCUAGCUUCAAAGUUUCAGCCCCAGAACUCCUGGGAUGGGCUGGCUCUAUAGGAACUCCCCUUUCCAUUCCAAGUUGCAAGUGCAGCCCAAGAGUUCAACCUUGAUGUGGGACUCAAGAUGUCUCUCAAGUUCAAAAACCUAGGGGAAUCUCUGAAAGCAGACCUUGUCCAGAUCCUUUACGCAGGGCUCCAGUAAAAGUUCUGGAGGAGAAAAAGCUUAUCGCUUCUGAGCACAGAUUUGUUUUAUAAAGAAAUGAAGGAGAUGUGGACCAGAAAACAAUAUUACUCGGGAGCUCCCUCUACUGGCUCCUUGAAAGAAAUCCCAUAGCAGUCGUUACGUCUUGCCCUGUGGGUAUUAAUUUGAAGCCUCUGAGCAUCUUGUCCUUGGUACAUUGAAGCUCCGAGAAAAUAAGAUGUGCUGAGCCACCAGGAAGAUGAAACUCCGGUUUCUUCUGCCUCCUGCAUAAUUUCACUAAUGUUUGCUGGAUGCCAACACCUUUGCAUUGAGCUCAUGGCAGGGCUUGACCAUUGAGACAGCUGAGACCUGAAGAGAUUGAAUAAGCUCCUGGCAUCACAGGAGACUAGUAGAACCCUUUGUGACCCUCGUCACUCUUAGGAUUCGCCUAAGCAAGAACUCAAGAGAAGCAAGAAUCAAGGAGCAUCAUGAGACUAGAAGUGGAACUUGUUCAGGGCACAGAAUAGAAAUCAUCGUACUGGCUCUAAGAUGGCUCCAUAAGCUUUUCAGCCCUGCUGUAAAAAGAAAUCAGCCCAGUGAACUGGAAGGCAGUGCCUCUCCAUUCUGUGUUCUCACUGUGUAACCAGCAUAGUGACUAAAAAGAAGUUCCAUUAUGGAGGUGAGACCUCUAAAUUUGUGGAGCAUGUUCACACCUACUUUUUCAAAAAUAAAAUUCUGUGAGGUAGAUAGGGAGGGUAGCAGUACAUGCAUUUUAUGGUUUGGGAACUCAAGAUAUUGAGUGGCAUGUUCCAGGUUUUGGUUAGGAGCCAAUGGCAACAUUAAGAACAGACCUGUGACUCGGUAUAAGUUGUCUUUCUGGUUGGUAUUGGUUGGAAUUGAGGUCUAAGUUGGCCUUCUUAAUUACAGAAAAUAAAGGUUUUGAAACCACUCCUUUAUUUUACAAACAGAUCCUUUUCUGAGUUGCUUUUUGCCAUUUGGGGUUGGCUCAUAAUUAAGCUCCCUUCAUAUUGAGCCAUUUGAGAAUUAGAAAUUUUACAAACCACUUGUCUUUUAAAAACUGGUCUCUUAGAUAACAUUUUAGUUAUCUAGGUCCUGGGAGAACCCCAUAUAUUACUCCAAUUCUCCUUACCAUGGGAAAAUGUAAACCUUCAGCUCACCCAGGAGAACCUCAAAGCCUUUCCAUGUUGGUUCUUCCUUGGAUUUUGAGAUAUGGGUAAGUCACAGGAUUCCUAUUCCUGCUUUGGAUGGGAUGCUGUACCCUAAUUUCACUGUCAGCAUGCCUCUAAAUCUGACAAUCUGUCACAAUGUGACAGUGGCUAAAAAUAUUAUACCCAGUUCCUCUACCCCCAACUCAGGAUUUCCCAUUAGCGGCCCCUUUCUCUGUAGAUAUGAUGCUGUCAUAUCGGGAUCAGAAUGAUAUCUGACAUUAAUAACAGAGAUAACAGGAGCAAGUUUUCGUAAUGCCUUCGGAGUGUCUGGUUGAGUUGUCAUUGACUUAAACAGAGUGACUGGGUUAAAAACAUUUGUCCGUGAUGUAACCUUGGCCCUUGGCUGCCAGAGGAAGCAACUGUUGCUGGUUUGACCUGUUAGCACUACAAACUCCAGUUUGUCAAAAAUGUGACUCUUUGAUCAAUAGUUGGUCUAGACCUGCCAAUUGGGAGUAAGCUCCUAUUUGGCCAUUGACUGGUAAAGCUGACCAGCCUUGGUGGUAACCUUGAUCAUCUGCCCCUUGUGUUCUUCCCAUCCCCAUGAAGCCAAAAUGAGGCCAGUGAAGGAGGGGAGGGGAAGGCCUGGGACUCAUAUCAGAGACGGAAUGUGGAUUGCUGAUACUGUAACCCUUUCCUCUUGCUUGUUGUAGGAGCGCCAAAGACCAAGAGGAGACCAGAUGAGUUUUCAAAGCAGUCCUCACACACCCAGGAUACAUGUCAUCUUUUGCCUUGUGCUUUCUGCAAUGUUGCUGCUCACGUUCAUCUUCCUAUUAACCCUUGCCAUGAUAACCCCUUCCUGAUCACCGCCUUGCCUCCAUCUACCACCCAUUCAGCUCUUUCUCUGAGGUGCCCCUCCAGUGGGAAAUGGCUUUGAUCUUUGGCAAGCUCCCUUUUGAGUUGUACCCCAAUGGCUGUCAUUAGUUUCCCUUUCUUCUAUCUCCUCCUCGUGCCAGACAUGGCCAACAUUCAGGUAAACUGCAGCAAAUUCCCAAAAUGAAGUUUCAAGACACUCUGCCAGAGCAGUCACACUCAAUGAAGGGACCCAAGGUAUAUCUGAGUGUGAUGUCAUUGAAACCAGAUGGAAAGACCAGAAAUCCCAUAAUCCCAGUCAGAUAGAGUGAAAGAGCUUACUCGUGACUGUUUGGACUGAUUAAGAAUGUGGGGGUAGGGAGGAGGAGAAAGAGAAAGAUCCUCAGAAUUUGCCCCUGAAUACAG
rnacentral:lncRNA from 1 species